GAUGAAGAACGUAGCGAAAUGCGAUAAGUAAUGUGAAUUGCAGAAUUCAGUGAAUCAUCGAAUCUUUGAACGCACAUUGCGCCCGCUAGUAUUCUGGCGGGCAUGCCUGUCCGAGCGUCAUUUCAACCCUCAAGCCCCCGGGCUUGGUGUUGGGGAUCGGCGAGCCUCCGCGCCCGCCGUCCCCUAAAUCUAGUGGCGGUCUCGCUGUAGCUUCCUCUGCGUAGUAGCACACCUCGCACUGGGAAACAGCGCGGCCACGCCGUUAAACCCCCAACUUCUGAACGUUUGACUUCGGAUCAGGUAGGAAUACCCGCUGAACUUAAGCAUAUCAAUAAGCGGAGGA
rnacentral:misc_RNA from 1 species